CCACAAUGCACCUACAUAGACCUGGGACGCAGUAUUGAGGAGCCAGCGUUCCGCCUGCUGAGCCAUGCUGUGGAGUCUGGCCGGGGGAAAUGUCCCUUUAGUCCACGGGAGCCCUUCACCGCCAGGCUCACCGAUGGAGAUUUGUAUGCUGGGACAUCAGUGGAUUUUAUGGGCACCAACACAGCUAUAUUCCGUACCUCUGUGCACAGCAGCAAACAACACUAUAUACGCACUGAGGCCUACCAGGACCACUGGCUCAAUGGUGAGACAGCUAUAUU